rnacentral:rRNA from 1 species
CCAUCAUUCAGUUGGGCACUCUAGCGAGACUGCCGGUAAUAAACCGGAGGAAGUGGGGGAUGACGUCAAAUCAUCAUGCCCCUUAUGACCUGGGCUACACACGUGCUACAAUGGUUGGUACAACGAGUUGCGAGUCGGUGACGGCGGGCUAGUCUCUUAAAGCCAAUCUCAGUUCGGAUUGUAGGCUGCAACUCGCCUACAUGAAGUCGGAAUCGCUAGUAAUCGCGGAUCAGCACGCCGCGGUGAAUACGUUCCCGGGCCUU